rnacentral:piRNA from 1 species
CGUAUUCAGUGCUGAAGACGAUGGCAGC